rnacentral:snRNA from 1 species
ACUACUUCUUGGUCUUUUGGCUAAGAUCAACUGUAGUAUCUGUUCUUAUCAGUUUAAUAUCUGAUACGUCCUCUAUCUGAGGACAAUAUAUUAAAGGGACUUUUGGAAUUUGGAGACGGAAUAGGGGCUUGCUCUGUCCACUCCAUGGGAUAAAAACAAAC